rnacentral:rRNA from 1 species
UACGGAGGGUGCGAGCGUUGUCCGGAAUCAUUGGGCGUAAAGGGCGCGUAGGUGGCCCGGCAAGCGUGCGGUGAAAGUCGGGGGCUCAACCCCCGAUCGGCCGUGCGAACUGCGGGGCUGGAGCACUGUAGAGGCAGGCGGAAUUCCGGGUGUAGCGGUGGAAUGCGUAGAGAUCCGGAAGAACACCGGUGGCGAAGGCGGCCGUGCUGGGCA